GAACGGCAGCGGGGGUAGCUUGCUACCUGCCGGCGAGUGGCGAACGGGUGAGUAAUACAUCGGAACGUGCCCUGUAGUGGGGGAUAACUAGUCGAAAGACUAGCUAAUACCGCAUACGACCUGAGGGUGAAAGUGGGGGACCGCAAGGCCUCAUGCUAUAGGAGCGGCCGAUGUCUGAUUAGCUAGUUGGUGGGGUAAAGGCCUACCAAGGCGACGAUCAGUAGCUGGUCUGAGAGGACGAUCAGCCACACUGGGACUGAGACACGGCCCAGACUCCUACGGGAGGCAGCAGUGGGGAAUUUUGGACAAUGGGGGCAACCCUGAUCCAGCAAUGCCGCGUGUGUGAAGAAGGCCUUCGGGUUGUAAAGCACUUUUGUCCGGAAAGAAAUCGCUUCGGUUAAUA
rnacentral:rRNA from 1 species